rnacentral:rRNA from 1 species
GACGAACGCUGGCGGCGUGCUUAACACAUGCAAGUCGAACGGAAAGGCCCUGCUUUUGUGGGGUGCUCGAGUGGCGAACGGGUGAGUAACACGUGAGUAACCUGCCCUUGACUUUGGGAUAACUUCAGGAAACUGGGACUAAUACCGGAUAGGAGCUCCUGCUGCAUGGUGGGGGUUGGAAAGUUUCGGCGGUUGGGGAUGGACUCGCGGCUUAUCAGCUUGUUGGUGGGGUAGUGGCUUACCAAGGCUUUGACGGGUAGCCGGCCUGAGAGGGUGACCGGCCACAUUGGGACUGAGAUACGGCCCAGACUCCUACGGGAGGCAGCAGUGGGGAAUAUUGCACAAUGGGCGGAAGCCUGAUGCAGCAACGCCGCGUGCGGGAUGACGGCCUUCGGGUUGUAAACCGCUUUCGCCUGUGACGAAGCGUGAGUGACGGUAAUGGGUAAAGAAGCACCGGCUAACUACGUGCCAGCAGCCGCGGUGAUACGUAGGGUGCGAGCGUUGUCCGGAUUUAUUGGGCGUAAAGGGCUCGUAGGUGGUUGAUCGCGUCGGAAGUGUAAUCUUGGGGCUUAACCCUGAGCGUGCUUUCGAUACGGGUUGACUUGAGGAAGGUAGGGGAGAAUGGAAUUCCUGGUGGAGCGGUGGAAUGCGCAGAUAUCAGGAGGAACACCAGUGGCGAAGGCGGUUCUCUGGGCCUUUCCUGACGCUGAGGAGCGAAAGCGUGGGGAGCGAACAGGCUUAGAUACCCUGGUAGUCCACGCUGUAAACGGUGGGUACUAGGUGUGGGGUCCAUUCCACGGGUUCCGUGCCGUAGCUAACGCUUUAAGUACCCCGCCUGGGGAGUACGGCCGCAAGGCUAAAACUCAAAGGAAUUGACGGGGCCCCGCACAAGCGGCGGAGCAUGCGGAUUAAUUCGAUGCAACGCGUAGAACCUUACCUGGGUUUGACAUGGAUCGGGAGUGCUCAGAGAUGGGUGUGCCUCUUUUGGGGUCGGUUCACAGGUGGUGCAUGGCUGUCGUCAGCUCGUGUCGUGAGAUGUUGGGUUAAGUCCCGCAACGAGCGCAACCCUUGUUCACUGUUGCCAGCACGUUAUGGUGGGGACUCAGUGGAGACCGCCGGGGUCAACUCGGAGAAAGGUGGGGAUGACGUCAAGUCAUCAUGCCCCUUAUGUCCAGGGCUUCACGCAUGCUACAAUGGCUGGUACAGAGAGUGGCGAGCCUGUGAGGGUGAGCGAAUCUCGGAAAGCCGGUCUCAGUUCGGAUUGGGGUCUGCAACUCGACCUCAUGAAGUCGGAGUCGCUAGUAAUCGCAGAUCAGCAACGCUGCGGUGAAUACGUUCCCGGG